rnacentral:rRNA from 1 species
CAGCAGCCACGGGAAUACGAAGGGUGCAAGCGUUAAUCGGAAUUACUGGGCGUAAAGCGUGCGUAGGCGGUUUGUUAAGUCUGUUGUGAAAUCCCCGGGCUUAACCUGGGAACUGCAUUCAAAACUGACUGACUAGAGUAUGGUAGAGGGUGGUGGAAUUUCCUGUGUAGCGGUGAAAUGCGUAGAUAUAGGAAGGAACACCAGUGGCGAAGGCGACCACCUGGACUAAUACUGACACUGAGGUGCGAAAGCGUGGGGAGCAAACAGGAUUAGAUACCCCCGUAGUCCCUGUCUCUUAUAA